rnacentral:tRNA from 1 species
GACUCAGUGGUGUAGUGGUCUAAUAUCAUGGUGCCCGGAGACGUGGGUUCGAAUCCCGCCUGAGCCG